rnacentral:rRNA from 1 species
CCUACGGGAGGCAGCAGUGAGGAAUAUUGGUCAAUGGUCGGGAGACUGAACCAGCCAAGCCGCGUGAGGGAGGAAGGUACAGAGUAUCGUAAACCUCUUUUGUCAGGGAACAAAGGCGGGGACGUGUCCCCGGCUGAGUGUACCUGAAGAAAAAGCAUCGGCUAACUCCGUGCCAGCAGCCGCGGUAAUACGGAGGAUGCGAGCGUUAUCCGGAUUUAUUGGGUUUAAAGGGUGCGCAGGCGGUCUGUUAAGUCAGCGGUCAAAGCCCGGGGCUCAACCCCGGCCCGCCGUUGAAACUGGCAGUCUCGAGUUGGAGAGAAGUAGGCGGAAUGCGCGGUGUAGCGGUGAAAUGCAUAGAUAUCGCGCAGAACUCCGAUUGCGAAGGCAGCAUGCCGGCUCCACACUGACGCUGAGGCACGAAAGCGUGGGUAUCGAACAGGAUUAGAUACCCCGGUAGUC